CGCACACCGUGAGGACCCAGUCGGGUCUUUGACCCCGCCCCUGCUGUGUGUAUGCGUGUGUUUCUCCCCCUCCUACUUAGGAGAUUGUCUGCAGGUGUGGACGGACGGUGCUGCAGGAGCCUGGCCAGACAACAGACCGGCGGGGUAUAGGCCUACUACGAACCUCGCUGAACAUACCCAGCCAGAGACGCAACUCACGAUCAGAGUUAAAUGGGCCGUUCAGGAUGCUGCCAAGUUACGGUUCCAAUGGAGACGGUAUCUCGCAGAGCGGAUUCUUGUGUGGUAACAUCUCCCUCUGCUGUCCACAUCCGCUCACUACACACACAUGGACGCAAGAUCGCAGGUUAAAGACUUUUUGAAGUAAAGAGGAGCAUCUCAUCUGAACCAGAUGUCUAUCAUGGAUAUUUAACUGCAGCUCUGUGAGUAUCCCAACUUAACCAUCAAGAUGAACUGCAAACUGUAAGUCACAUGUUUCUCAUUACUCUUGGGCACAUUGAUGUAUUUUGGCUUCCUGGUGAGUUAACCCGUUACCUGAAGGUUGAUCUGAGUAGUAAGGAUGUUUUAUUGGUUCAUGAGUUAUUUAGGUGUUUGGUUUAUAUUGGUUUUAAUGAUUUGUUAAAAUGGUUACAGGCUCCAAGUUAUUGUUGUAAGCUGGAGUAAUGGGUUGGGUUCUGAUAUCUUCAGUCUUCUUUCCAGCUACACUCCUGAGCUCUGCAUCUUCAUCACAUGAGCGUUGCUUCACUGAUGAGGGUGUGGUCUGAGUGAGCAGAGGUGCAUACUGGGAUACAGAGCUGUCUGAAGUCUACAGGUCUGUAGACACGCCCCCUCAGGAGAAACCAAGUGUUUGAGAAACCGUCGUGAUGUCAGUUACAUGGACUAGAAUGUUCUUUUAAGAUGGAGACAGGGAUUCAGAAGGAGAAACACCAGGGGGAGAUGAGGGGACUCCUCAUCUCAACGACAAAAACACAACUUCAGUCUGAUACAUAACCAUGGAACACAUUCAACAGUCCCCUCCAGGCAUCCUGACUCCUCAGGAGCAGUUUCAUUUCCAAGAAGGUCUUAUUUGGGGCCAUCCCCAGAUGGAUCCUGCUCCUCAAGAGCCACCCCCCUCCACUGUGUGGUCUUCUGAACAGAUGACCUCCUUCCUGUCCUCAGGCUGACUAAAGCAAAACCGCUUGCAUCUGUGAAUGCUCCUCAUUCAGGAAACCACUGGACUACAAAGACAUGACUUCAUAGACGUUGAAUCAACCUUGGAGACAUUUUGGAGACGCCAAGCAUAAUCCAUCACCAAUGUGGGACGCCACUGAAGAAUGUUGUACAUCAUUUCCUUCUCUGGAGACAUUGGUUGUUCUGUUCUGGGUGCCCUGGCAGGAGAGCUGGGGUUGGAUGAUGGAACGUUGUUUGGCAUGAGGUUUUUACCCUGCAUGAUUGUUUGGCCUUUUAUGGCUCGGUGGUGUGUGUGUUUGGGUUUGACAUGAGAUGGAUGAUUAUUGAGCAUCGCAAGGGUUCUACUGUGUGUGUGUGUCUCCCACUCACACCUGGCAUGGGGUUCUACGUGUGAAUCCUUGGGUCUAUGUGUGUGUGUGUGUGUCCGGCUUGCUUUGACAGUGAUAAUGUUCAUACGGAGGUCUGUGUGAUUGGCUUGGGAUAUUGGAAUGGUCAAAUAAAUCAUACCUGAUGGACGGCCACACGUUUACUUAAAGGCCUCCAGUAGACAUGAAGAGCCCAGAGCGACGCUGCGGAGCGAUAUCCAACACACUGGGCAGGAAGGAGAGUAUCCAACUCAAGUGCAAAAGGAUGCAAGCGGCGUGUUCAGAUCAGUGACUUCAAACUAGGACUUCACCAAUCAGGAUCAAUGGAGGAUGGACACCAAAAGGAAUUCCACAAGGAGAGUCUGACGUUGGAAAGGGACCUAAAUGGAUAUUCAAGAUGACCUUCAGACCUGUAAUGAGAUGGCUCUUCCUACCUGGCUGGAUUGAUGGAGAGCCCUGUGGAUCUUGUCUUUUUCUCAGUUGCACGUCUACUCAGGCUGAACCGUAUUUGUUUCGGACAGGACUAGCUGAACGAUUGCUUCCCUUAAAUCAGAACCAAUCCGGGAACUCCAGCUAGUGCGCUCUUCGAGCUGAAGUUGUGCUCUUCAGCUGAGGAGGUAAGGAAACCCUCACUGAGGCUUCAAGGUGUAAAGAGGAGGAUGUUUCAAAGUGUUCCAUGGUACUCUGAUAAAGACCGUUGUUGUGUUCCACUGGCUGAGAGGAAGAACCCUCACAUCUUCCUCUUGGCCUUUCUCCUCUGAGAAUCCUGGCGCCAUCUUGAAGGAUAAUCCUGCUCAUGUAACUGAUGUCACGACAGAUUCUCAAACACUUGGUUUCUCCUGAGGGGCGUGUCUAUAGAACUGAAGACUUCAGACAGCACUGUAUCCCAGCAUGCAUCUCUGCUCACUCAGACCACACCCCAAUGAGUAGGAUGCAACGCUCUAGUGAUGGAGAUGUAGAGUUUUAUAAGUAACGAGGGAGCAGACGAAGGUGAUUAGAACACAAUGGCAUGUCAAGUCUGUAAAUCUUUAAACCAUGAGGAUGGUUGGAUAGUUCAGGAAUUGGGCUUCUUUUUAUUAUGGGCAGUCCUUUCGCUCAGAUGCCAACUUCUCACUGGACCUGUACAUGUGUUGGCUGGCUGGCAUGAUUUGCUGUUGGUGAUGAGUCAGUCAGGGUGACGUUGCAGGGCUAUGGUCGGCUCUCUGUGAGCUCAACGUUUAGAUUUGCUCUGUAUGGUUUGUACCCUGAAUAAUCUAGAUAAUUGUAAAAUGUAGACACGGUUUUGUAUUGAAUGAUUUUAGCUUUAAAGUUGUUGUGGGACGUACAUGGUAGUUUUGGUUCUUCUUACGUUUUUGAGUGAUAACUUGUACACACUGGGUGCAUAAUAAUGUAAAGGUACACUGAAUAGUAGUAAUGACCAACAGCAACAAACAGAUCUCCUCAAGGUAAGUCUGUUGGCUGUGUUUUAAUGAAGAUCAUCGCGGGACUUCAGGAUCUUCCUCCGCUCAGCUCAAGGUGAGGCGCUGGUUCUGUUUUUUCUUUGGUUGGUUCCGGCCGGAAUGUUCGGAUUCCGGUCGGACGGUUUGUGCUUCCCGCAGUGGAAGGUUCUGAGUGGGGUCACUUGAUUUAGUCCCAAUGGUUAGCAUAGAACGUUGUAGUCUUGACGACCAUAAGAAACCACCCUGGCAGUUAGUUGGACGGGAGUCCCCUGAGGGAAUCUGGCAGAACGUUCUUGAUUGUAUUUGCGUAACCUCGAGCCGUUGCCAACGGAAACAAUUUUUUCAGUCGUUUCCAUCGGGAAUUGUUUCCCCGUAUCUUAAACAACUUAACUUUGAUAUUUAAUACAUACUGACAGACACGUACGUCGUACAAUAUGUUGAUAAUUUCCGAUGGUUGCGCCGUACUUUUAACCACAAUGACGUGACCGGACUCUCGCUGCGUACAAAACAGCGUUCUAUUUGGGGCCCAUUUUUGACAUCGGAGAAGGCUGAAAAUCAUUUCAAGGUGGAAGACAAUUUGACAUUUCUUCAACGGAACCCAGCACCUAAAUAUGGCUGAGUAUAUUUGAUUUAAUAUCGAUACUGCUUAGUGUUCUUUGUUACUUCAGCUUUUGUACGUUCUAAAUAUUUGCUGUCAUUAAUUGCCACAGAAGUUAAACCCUACCAAAUGGAAUGACGCUAAACGACUUUGGUGCAGAGUUACCAACUGGAUAAUAUCAAAGCUAAAAUAAUGGCCGUCCUUCCCACAUGUUACAGUAGAAGAUACUAUAGAACUGUACAAGGUUAAAAAGGUAACGUGUAGUUUCUCCCAAGGUGUCUGCCUCCUCACCCAGAGCCAGACCUCCACCUCCUCACCCAGGGCCAGACCUCCACCUCCUCAGCCAGAGCCAGACCUCCACCUCCUCACCCAGAGCCUGACCUCCACCUCCUGUCAGAAGUCCUCCAGAACAGCUGAAAGGCGAGGCUGAGAGGCUGGAGAUCGGAGGCUUGUGGUGCCAGGAUGGACCGGAGACUGAGGCUGGAGACCAGGGGCCUGCAGCACCGGACCAGAGGACCAAGAAUCCAUGGCUGAAGGAGCUGAUGGAGGAGCCGUGCUGAAGGCCCUGCCUGGUGGAGGAGCUAGUGGAGGCCCUGCCUGGUGAAGGACGUCUGUCGUGGGGUAGAUGGAGCUUGACUCUGAAGUGAUCAUCACACUCACUGCAACUUCUCGUAGAAUACUCCUACCACAAACUACCGGCGUUUGUACCACAUAUACCAGAUGACUACAUCUGUUUUACCACAUGUUGAAGCAAGACUUCCGCUGUUUGUUCCAGGACUCUGUCUGAGGAGAGCUGCUGGAGGACGACUAGGAAUCGACCAACAAGGAUUCCUCAAUGUGUUUCUGGAGCGGAGGCGAGUUGGUAGGGGAGCCGCAAAUCUGGAGGACGACCAUCACUCUACCAGCAAGGAUCCUCGUCUAUCAUGGACAUGUAACUGCAGUUCUGUGAGUAUCCCAACUUGACCAUGAAGUUGAACUGCAAACUGUAAGUCAGACGUUUCUCAUUACUCUUGGGCACAUUGAUGUAUUUUGGCUUCCUGGCGAGUUAACCCGUUACCUGAAGUUUGAUCUGAGUUGUAAAAAUGUUUUAUUAGUUCAUGGGUUACUGAGGUGUUUGGUUUAUGUUGGUUUUAAUGGAUUGUUAAAAUGGUUACAGGCUCCAAGUUAUUGUUGUAAGCUGGAGUAAUGGGUUGGGUUCUGAUAUCUUCAGUCUUCUUUCCAACUACUCUCCUGAGCUCUGCAUCUUCAUCAAAUGAGUGUUGCUUGACUGAGGAGGGUGUGGUCUGAGUGAGCAGAGGUGCAUACUGGGAUACAGAGCUGUCUGAACUGAAGUCUACAGGUCUGUAGACAUGCCCCUUCAAGGGAAACUGAGUGUUUGAGAAACUGUUGUGACGUCAAUUACAUGGACUGGAAUGUUCUUUAAGAUGGAGACAGGGAUUCAGAAGGAGAAACACCAGGGGGAGAUGAGGGGACUCCUCUUCUCAACGACUAAAACACAACUUCAGUCUGACACAGAGAACCAUGGAACACGGUCAACAGUCCCCUCCAGGCAUCGUGACUCCUCAGGAACAGUUUCAUUUCCAAGAAGGUCUUUUUAGGGGCCAUCCCCACAUGGAUCCUGCUCCUCAAGAGCCACCCCCCUCCACUGGGUGUUCUUCUGAACAGAUGACCUCCUUCCUGUCCUCAGGCUGACUAAAGCAAAACCUCUUGCAUCUGUGAAGGCCCCUCAUUCAGGAAACCACUGGACUACAAAGACAUGACUUCAGAGACGUUGAAUCAACCUGGGACACAUUUUGGAGACGCCAAGCAUAAUCCAUCACCAAUGUGGGACGCCACUGAAGAAUGUUGUACAUCAUUUACUUCUCUGGAGACAUUGGUUGUUCUGUUCUGGGUGCCCUGGCAGGAGAGCUGGGGUUGGAUGAUGGAAUAUUAUUUGGCAUGAGGUUUUUACCCUGCAUGAUUGUUUGGCCUUUUGUGGCUCAGUGGUGUGUGUGUUUGGGUUUGACCUGAGAUGGAUGAUUUUUGAGCGUCUCCAGGGUUCUACUGUUUGUCUCCCACUCACACCUGGCAUGGGGUUCCACGUGCGAAUCAUUGGUUCUAUGUGUGUGUGUCCGGCUUGCUUUGACAGUGGUAAUGUUCAUACGGAGGUCUGUGAUUGGCUUGGGAUAUUGGAAUGGUCAACUAAAUCAUCCCUGAUGGAUGGCCACAUGUUUACUUGAGGGCCACCAGUAGACAUGAAGAGCCCAGAGCGACGCUGCGGAGCGAUAUCCAUCACACUGGGCAGGAAGGAGAGUAUCCAACUCAAGUGCAAAAGGAUGCAAGCGGCGUGUUCAGAUCAGUGACUUCAAACUAGGACUACACCAAUCAGGAUCAAUGGAGGAUGGACACCAAAAGGAAUUCCAAAAGGAGACUGAUGUUGGAAAGGGACCUAAUUGGAUAUUCAAGAUGACCUUCAAACCUGUAAUGAGACGGCUCUUCCUACCUGGCUGGAUUGAUGGAGAGCCCUGUGGAUCUUGUCUUUUUCUCAGUUGCACGUCUUCUCAGGCUGAACUGUAUUUGUUUCGGACAGGACUAGCUGAACGAUUGGUUUCCUUAAAUCAGAACCAAACUGGGAACUCCAACUAGUGUGCUCUUCAGCUGAGGAGGUAAGGUGUGCUGAAGGAGCUGAUGGAGGAGCCGUGCUGAAGGCCCUGCCUGGUGGAGGAGCUGGUGGAGGCCCUGCCUGGUGAAGGACGUCUGUCGUGGGACCAGGACUCUGUCUGAGGAGAGCUGCUGGAGGACGACUAGGAAUCGACCAACAAGGAUUCCUCAACGUGUUUCUGGAGCGGGGGCAAGUUGGUAGGGGAGCCGCAAAUCUGGAGGAUGACCAUCACUCUACCAACAAGGAUUACGUUGGGGCCAGACUUGCACUGUUUGUUCCAGACCAGGACUCUGGCUGAGGAGAGCUGAUGGGGGAGCCAAGACUCUGGAGGACGACAUCACUCUACCAACCAGGAUCCUCACCAGGAAUCUGGAGGACUGAUGGAGAAGCCGUACAUCUAGAAGGCAAAUCCUGAGGACAACCAAGACUCUACCAUCAAGGAUUCCUCGUAAGUUUGCAAUAUCUGGACAUAGUGGACUAGGUAGGGGGUUGGGGGUUCAACUCUCAAACCAAUGGUGCCGGGUUCAAGUCCUCA
ensembl:lncRNA